rnacentral:lncRNA from 10 species
CACCCCAUAUGGCUUGACCCUGCUGGAGAACAAUACUUAACAUUUUGGAUAUCAGUCUUAAAGUUUGGCCAGAAGAUUAUCAUAGUAUCGAUGCCUCUGACCAUGAAGUUUAUAGCUGAGUGUCUGGAAAAGAGGAAUGCUCUUUUUCAUGUUCAGCAUAAAAAUACUCAUCUACCAGGCUGGGAUGAAUGCAGGCCAUGAGGUAUAUGAUGAUUACACGAACACCAGUAAUCCAACAAACAAUAUGAAAACUACUAUGAGAGAUGGAGAGGAGGAAGAAGGCACGAGAUUGCUUCCUAUAAAGGGAUGUUAAGCAAAAGCUUUAUGAAACAACUAAAAGCCUACAUGUAACAGGACUUGAAGAAUGAGUAGAAUUUUAUUUUUCAUAAGCACUAUUAAAUAUUGCUUUUUCA